AAGAUUGUAUGAAGAUGCACCACCCAAGGAAUUUAAGAUAAAACACCAAAUACAGGGCAUAUAUAUAUAUACACAUCCAUUCCAUUUCACAGAGCAGCCACUCUGUCUCCAGGCACAGCUGCAGGACUCUUCAUAAAUAAAUAACCUCGUGUAAGACAGAUUAUGUUCCUCGGAUAUCAAUCACUGGAAAAAGUGAUUAAAAGAGACAGAGGGAUCAAGGUGCUUUAGACUUGUCCAUGUGAAGAAAUGGAUUGUCCAAGGGAGGGAAGCCAUCAUAGUGAAUCACAGGAUCAUGGACUAUCCUGAGCUGGAAGGGACUCAAAAAUCAACUCCUCAUUCCACAUGGGGCAACAUAA
rnacentral:lncRNA from 1 species